GAAUGUGCUUUGUUAAACAAGUGCUUGAAGGCAGUAUGCUUGGUAAAAGUCAUCGCCAUUCUCUAAUCUUGAGUACCCAGGGACACGAUACACUGCGGAAGGCUGCAGGGACCUCUGCCCAGGAAAGCCAGGCUUGCAUGAAGGAAAUGAUUUCCUAUGAUUCUGCUUACUGCUUAAAAAAAUUAAUCAAGUUUUCUGCCUGACAAGAUCCAGUAUCUGCCGGAGGAGCCCCACCUUCUGCUACUAUUAUGUUCUUCAGAUGAGUAGAAGAGAGUGGGGAGGGAGAGAGCAGGAAGAAGAAAGGAAGAAUAAUGUCUUGAAAUUGGUAAAAGCGUUUUUGUUUGCACAUCCUGCAUUAUUAAUAUUUCUUGUUUAGCAUAAUUAGCUACCCUCUCAAGCUUACACACAACCUGCAGUGUUUAUGCCUUCCGAUGAUAGCUAAACCAUCAGCAAAGCAGUCCAGGUCCCUGAAGGCUGAAUGCAGGUGGUUCUGAAGGCUGCAGGAUGCAUUCAAAAAGCAGGAUACAUAAGCUUUAAUUGUUGCUAAAAAUACAUUCACUAGAAGAAUCGGACUCCUUCUAUCUGUCUGGAGUGGAUAAAAGCCAACUAUGGAUUCAGUAGUCUAAAGAAAGUCGCAGAAGAACAAAGAAAAGGUAGACAAAUGGGCCCAAAUGAACUUCAUUAAUGAGAAAAAAAGAUAACUAAUAUAAGACAAUACCACUUCUCUUUAUUCAAAUAAUUGGCAGUCAAUUUUACUUGGACAAUAACUAUGGCCUCAAAUGUGAUUUCAGGCUCAACAAAGCAGUGCAAUUUAAGGUCUAUCAUGCCUUGUUGUCAUGCUUCACGCAGCCUGGAAUAAGUAAUUCAAUACCCCUUACAGGAUCACCAGCUAUUAAACCAGGAUAAGAGCUUAGAGGCA
rnacentral:lncRNA from 10 species